GAUGAACGCUGGCGGCGUGCCUAAUACAUGCAAGUCGAGCGAACGGACGAGAAGCUUGCUUCUCUGAUGUUAGCGGCGGACGGGUGAGUAACACGUGGAUAACCUACCUAUAAGACUGGGAUAACUUCGGGAAACCGGAGCUAAUACCGGAUAAUAUUUUGAAUCGCAUGGUUCAAAAGUAAAAGACGGUCUUGCUGUCACUUAUAGAUGGAUCCGCGCUGCAUUAGCUAGUUGGUAAGGUAACGGCUUACCAAGGCAACGAUGCAUAGCCGACCUGAGAGGGUGAUCGGCCACACUGGAACUGAGACACGGUCCAGACUCCUACGGGAGGCAGCAGUAGGGAAUCUUCCGCAAUGGGCGAAAGCCUGACGGAGCAACGCCGCGUGAGUGAUGAAGGUCUUCGGAUCGUAAAACUCUGUUAUUAGGGAAGAACAUAUGUGUAAGUAACUGUGCACAUCUUGACGGUACCUAAUCAGAAAGCCACGGCUAACUACGUG
rnacentral:rRNA from 1 species